CUUGAUCGACCCCAGGAGCAGCGGCGUCUCGCGGUCCUGGCCGUAGGUGGCCAGCAGCGCCUGCGCCUC
rnacentral:antisense_RNA from 1 species